UUAAACCUCAAAUUUUGAAUCAAAUCAAGUGGGUCUCACCGGAAUCGUUUCACCUCCGUUCAAUCACUAUUUUUUGGUCAACCCCAUGUGCGUCCGUUUCUGCGUUGAGCCAAGGGAAAAUGGAGUGGGACGUGUUUUCUGAAUAUCGUCGCUAUAAUGUGUUGAAGGUUGUACGUGAGUGUGUGUGUGAAUUUUGAGAGUGGCCGUGAGAUUUUUUCUUCCAUCCAAUGCAAUGGAAUGGAAGAAGAAAAAGGAAGAUGGUCCUUCUUUUUUUACUCUGGGC
rnacentral:lncRNA from 1 species